rfam:Populus trichocarpa scaffold_10_contig_259, whole genome shotgun sequence.
GUCUCUAAUGAUGAUCAAAACUUUCGUUCUUCUGACAAUUUAAAACCAUGUGGAAGUUUUUAUGGAGACCUGAACUGAAGAGAC